AUGUUAUCGUCGGACAAACCCAUGUGCUGUAUCGCCAAGCCCGAAGGCUAUGGCCUCGCCGACAUCUGCAAUGGCCUCCUCUGCUUCGUGCUCGAAGACCGCGCCGGCGAGGCGCCGACGGUGGUGUGCAACCCCGCCACCGGCGAGACGCUGGUGCUUCCGGCGGCCCCUCCGCUCAGCAACAAGGACCAUGCGUUUUUAUUUGCCUUUGGGUUCAGUCCGCCCACCAACGAGUACAAGCUCUUCCGCCUCUCUUUCCCGCUAUGCUCCUACUCCUCCGAAGAGCGGGUGGACAUGGACGUCUACACCUUGGGUGACACCCACGGGUGGUGCAGAGACUCGUUCCUCUCACCCUCUCGCCCACUAAUCAGAGGAAAUGACACUUCGACGCCAGUGUUGAUCGAUGGUAAACUUCACGUGGUCACCAAAGGCUGGAAUGCACCCAUAUGGCAGGAGGUUGCCGGAGUGCUGGUAGUGGACGUGCCUGCCGAGACGUGCCGCGCCUACCCUCUCCCGGACGGUCUCGGGACCUAUCGAUAUGAUAAUCCGCUGGCCUUUGAGCUAAAGGGGCGGCUGUGCCUUGCCGCACACGUGCUCAACAGCUGUAAUCGCCCCAAGGCCCUCCGCUUCUGGGUCAUGGCCAUGGAGAACAAGGAAUCGGACGGCAAGAAGGAGCCGCACUGGGAGUUGCCCUACAACUUCCUCAUGCAAGUGGAACCUCCCAUCCCAAUCUGA
rnacentral:rRNA from 1 species